UGAGCAAAUAAACCUCAUAGGAUUGAGAC
rnacentral:piRNA from 1 species